rnacentral:rRNA from 1 species
AACGAACGCUGGCGGCAGGCCUAACACAUGCAAGUCGAGCGCGCCCUUCGGGGUGAGCGGCGGACGGGUGAGUAACGCGUGGGAACGUGCCCUUCUCUGCGGAAUAGCCUCGGGAAACUGAGAGUAAUACCGCAUACGCCCUUUGGGGGAAAGAUUUAUCGGAGAAGGAUCGGCCCGCGUUGGAUUAGGUAGUUGGUGGGGUAAUGGCCCACCAAGCCGACGAUCCAUAGCUGGUUUGAGAGGAUGAUCAGCCACACUGGGACUGAGACACGGCCCAGCCCCCUACGGGAGGAGGCAGGGGGGAUUUUGAAAAAAGGGGGGAACCCCUGAUCUACCCUUCCCGGGGGAGUAGUGAGGCCUUUGGGGUUGAAAAGCCCUUCAAGCGGGGAAGAUAAGGCGGGAACAGAAAAAAAAACCCCGGCCAACCCCCGGG